AGCAUGUAAGUCCCGCCCUAUUUUGUUUCUAUUCUAAGGGGGGAUAUUUUGUGAUGUUGGCGUUCACUUAGGUCUGCGAGAAAAAAAAUGGCGUCCACACCGGUUAUUCCUCUUUUUUUACGCGCGGCACUGCUUGCGAUCACGUCGGGGUCACCAAUGGUACAGAAUUAGGUACACAAUGUUGACAAACAACAUUUGCGUUUAUUAUUGAGAUUUUGAGCCGAACUCGGAAUUCAUGCACGCGGUUGAUGAUGAUCUAAGUUGUCGCUGAUGUCAAAGUUGCAUCCUCGUUACCGAGCGCAUUUGGUAAGGUAGAUGCCUGCUGCUCCCACAGGUAUCUGGUGAAGCUAACAUUCAUUCAGGAUUUGGAUUGGCUAUAUCUGAUUUGGGCUACAACGUUAAUGGCAUUCUACCAGUCACAUACCCAUACAUAUUUUCCUAUGUUGUGUUAACGUAUAGUUUUUAUACACAUGAGCAAAUGAAAGCUUACAAAACUCUUGAUGCUCAUAAGUAUUUUUCAGGCGGUUUUGUUCUGAAAGUUGGAACCAAGGCUGCAAAUGAAUUUUAUGUCAUGGUUGGAAAGGUGGAACGUUCGCAAAAAACAAACUCUAAACUUCUUAAGGCUUGGUGCAUUUUCACCAAAGAUGGUAUUGUUGCAAAUGGACACUGUACUUGUAUGGCAGGCAACAGUGAAGUUUGUGGCCAUAUUGGUGCUUUGCUUUUUGCAGCCGAAUAUGGCCAUCAAAAUAAGAGUACUGUGUCUUGUACCGAUGUAGCUGCUUUGUAGCCUAUGCCGUCCUUGUCCACUUGCCCAAUUAUUCUAUUAGCCGAAAUGGGCUUUGGACCAGCUGCUACUUCGUCAACAGAGUCAGUAGUUAUACCCUCAAUGUCCAAGGACUCCGUGAUAGAUUUAUAAAAAAGCAUCGAAAAUUUAGGAUGCUCUGCUGCUAUCGUGAGGAUUGUGGAACCUUUUGCAAGCGAACUCCAAUCACCCUCGAAGGUCACACUUCCAGAUGUAUUAGAUGUUUUCAGGAAAACCACACUUCCAAUACUUAUGUUGAUCUAACGGACAUUUCUCGAGGCCUUGAUAUAACGUUAACGAAGGAACAAAUAAGUAACGAGGUCAGCAUGGAUCAGAGAUCAAGAAUAACACAAGAGCAUAUCAUACUAUAUAUAUAGGGAAGCUAUGUUGCCAACUUGUCGACAAAGCAGUAUUGUGUUUAGUAUUAUCCGGCAGAGACAAGGAUGGACUAUCCCUUGUAUCCGUUAUCAGGUUAUUACAUAUGCAAUUUCGAUUUCCAGUUGAUUAGCUACCAUCAGUGCAUCUAUGCAUUGAACAUUACCCAGUGAGAUAGCGACCUGAGCCUUUAGUGUACGGGUCUUAAAUUGAAAUUCUGCUCUUAAAUUGAAAACUAGUUUGGUUUUCCCUUGCCUGUUUUCUAUUUUAUAAGAAAUAAAAUUAAUUUUUUGGGCAAUA
rnacentral:lncRNA from 1 species